rnacentral:tRNA from 1 species
GUUAGGAUGGCCAAGUGGUCAAAGGUGACAGAUUUAAGCUCUCGUCCUCGUUAGAGGGCGUGGGUUCGAACCCCACUUCUGACA